GACGAACGCUGGCGGCGUACUUAACACAUGCAAGUCGAACGGAAAGGCCCUGCUUUUGUGGGGUGCUCGAGUGGCGAACGGGUGAGUAACACGUGGGUAACCUGCCCUUGACUUUGGGAUAACUUCAGGAAACUGGGGCUAAUACCGGAUAGGAGCUCCUGCUGCAUGGUGGGGGUUGGAAAGUUUCGGCGGUUGGGGAUGGACUCGCGGCUUAUCAGCUUGUUGGUGGGGUAGUGGCUUACCAAGGCUUUGACGGGUAGCCGGCCUGAGAGGGUGACCGGCCACAUUGGGACUGAGAUACGGCCCAGACUCCUACGGGAGGCAGCAGUGGGGAAUAUUGCACAAUGGGCGGAAGCCUGAUGCAGCAACGCCGCGUGCGGGAUGACGGCCUUCGGGUUGUAAACCGCUUUCGCCUGUGACGAAGCGUGAGUGACGGUAAUGGGUAAAGAAGCACCGGCUAACUACGUG
rnacentral:rRNA from 1 species